CGGGUGAGUAACACGUGGAUAACCUACCUAUAAGACUGGGAUAACUUCGGGAAACCGGAGCUAAUACCGGAUAACAUGUUGAACCGCAUGGUUCAACAGUGAAAGACGGUCUUGCUGUCACUUAUAGAUGGAUCCGCGCUGCAUUAGCUAGUUGGUAAGGUAACGGCUUACCAAGGCAACGAUGCAUAGCCGACCUGAGAGGGUGAUCGGCCACACUGGAACUGAGACACGGUCCAG
rnacentral:rRNA from 1 species